AUACGGAGUGGGAUGAAAAAUGGUGCCUUCUUACAUCCCUAAUCUGAAGGACCACCUGAUUCUAGGUGUGGCAGCCAGUGUGGUGUAAUGGUUAGUGUGUUGGACUAGGACCUGGGAGAGAAAGCUUUGAAUCCCCACUCAGCCAUGAAGCUCACCAGCACCUUGGACAACUCCUUGAAAUUUCGGACUUAAACCUAGAGCAGAUUCCACUGCCCCAGUGCCAUGGAGCCACCAGCCACCACUGACGGUACAGCUACAAAACUGCAACACCCCAAGAGGCCAUGGAAGUGUGUAUGCAUUUUGUUUGAAAAGUCCAUUAAAGAAAAGUCGAUACAGGCACUGAUGAGAACGGAAAGAAAAUUAUCAAGAGAAAGGAACGAGUAUUCACAUUCACCACAUGAGAUUGUGUCCUAGGAAUAAUCAAGAUAUGAACAUAUAAACCCACUGGUACCAUAGCUAUGAACACUGUGAAGCAGUAUUUAAGACACUUGCCUCAA